rnacentral:rRNA from 1 species
CUACGGGACGCUGCAGUGAGGAAUAUUGCGCAAUGGGCGAAAGCCUGACGCAGCGAUGCCGCGUGAGUGAAGAAACCCUUAGGGGUGUAAAGCUCUUUUUUAUGGGACGAAUGCCCGUUUCGGCGGGAGCGACGGUACCAUGAGAAUAAGCACCGGCUAACUCCGUGCCAGCAGCCGCGGUAAUACGGAGGGUGCAAGCGUUGUCCGGAUUUACUGGGCGUAAAGGGCGGGUAGGCGGGAUGAUCAGUCGGAGGUGAAAUUUGCACAGCUCAACUGGCAAAGUGCCUUCGAUACUGUCAUCCUUGAGUGAAGGAGGGGGUAGUGGAAUUCCCGGUGUAGCGGUGGAAUGCGCAGAUAUCGGGAGGAACACCGGUGGCGAAGGCGGCUACCUGGCCUUACACUGACGCUGAUGCGCGAAAGCGUGGGGAGCAAACAGGAUUAGAUACCCCCGUAGUC